rnacentral:rRNA from 1 species
UCUUGUAAUUGGAAUGAUGGUGACUUAAACCCUCACCAGAGUACCAAUUGGAGGGCAAGUCUGGUGCCAGCAGCCGCGGUAAUUCCAGCUCCAAUAGCGUAUAUUAAACUUGUUGCAGUUAAAAAGCUCGUAGUUGAAUUUCAGCGUUUCGCGUGUGCCUCUUUUGGCCCAUCUCGUCUCGCUUUUUUUAUUACUUUGAGAAAAUUAGAGUGUUUCAAGCAGGCUUUUGUCUUGAAUACUUGAGCAUGGAAUAAUAGAGUAGGACCUUGGUUCUAUUUUGUUGGUUUUGUUACCUUGGUAAUGGUUAAUAGGAACGGUUGGGGGCAUUCGUAUUUAACUGUCAGAGGUGAAAUUCUUAGAUUUGUUAAAGACGAACUACUGCGAAAGCAUUUGCCAAGGACGUUUCCAUUAAUCAAGAAC